AUGGAAGAGGAGGUUUAUAGUGUUAUUAAGGAGUUGCCUCCGGAUCGAGCACCCAGACCGGAUGGGUACAUUGCCGCUUUCUACCAAAAAGCGUGGCCCAUAAUAAAGAAUGAUGUCACGAGCGUUAUGACCAAGCUCUACAUGGGUGAUGGAAGGGCCUUUGUGAAGCUCAACAAGGCGCACAUUGUGCUUAUACCUAAGAAACCGGACGCUGAGGAAAUAGGAGACUAUUGGCCUAUUAGUCUUACUCAUAGCAUACCAAAGUUGUUUGCUAAGGCCCUUGCGUAUAGAAUGAGGAAGCAGAUGCAUGACAUUGUUGAUACAAACCAAUCGACAUUUAUCAAAGGAAGAUACUUACAUGACAAUUUCCUCCUUGUGAGGCAAGUGGCUAGGAAAUUACAUGCUAGGAGAGCGUCGGCUGUGUUCCUAAAGUUGGAUAUUUCAAGAGCUUUUGAUUCCUUGUCUUGACCCUCCCUAUUUGAGGUCAUGGAGGCUAAAGGGUUCGGCCCUCGAUGGAUGCGGUGGGUGACAUUGCUACUCCAAACGGCCAGCACAAAGAUCAUUGUUAAUGGAGUUCCACGAAAGAGUUUUGGACAUGCUUGUGGGCUUCGAAAAGGGGACCCAAUCUCCCCGCCGCUGUCGGAUUUCGGGUUCCGACAGACCCUUGAGGUUCGAACAUUGGGGUGCGCACGAAGAUCUCUCCCCUACCAGCUCACGUCUCUAAGUCUCGCAAAGAUCUAA
rnacentral:rRNA from 1 species